AGAAACCAAGCGGUACGAGGAAGAGGAAUUGAAGGGAAGCAAGUUCGAAGUAUCUCUCUACCGACGCCUUCUUUGCUUGAUUAUAUUAUGGAUAAAAUUUUACAAUGUAGUCAUCAUCAAGUUCCACACUUUUUGGUAUACCCUUCUCAUCUCUUUCCUUUCCAAAGACAAUUGCCAUUAAAUUUUUUUUCUGAAGAUGAAGUUGGGGAAGAAGAAAGGUGGGGGACAGGUUGGGUUUGGCGGUGGAGGAGGAGG
rnacentral:lncRNA from 1 species